AGCCUGAACGCUGGCGGCGUGGCUAAGACAUGCAAGUCGUACGGUGUAGCAAUACACAGUGGCGAACGGGUGAGUAAUGUAUCGCUAACGUGCCCCCGAGUCAGGGAUAGCUGCCCGAAAGGGCAGGUAAUACCUGAUGAGACCACAAAGAGGCAUCUCUUUGUGCUCAAAGCAGCAAUGCGCUCAGGGGAGCGGGCGAGUAUCGGUAUCAAGCUAGUUGGUGAGGUAACGGCUCACCAAGGCGACGACGCGUAGCCGGACUGAGAGGUUGGCCGGCCUCAUUGGGACUGAGACACUGCCCAGACUCCUACGGGGGCUGCAGUAACGAAUCUUCCGCAAUGCACGAAAGUGUGACGAGCGACGCGCGUGUGGGACGAGUCCUUGGAUGUAAACCACUGUCGACGGGUUACAAGUUACUGAGACGCCCGAGAGGAAGG
rnacentral:rRNA from 1 species